rnacentral:rRNA from 1 species
UACAGAGGGGGCAAGCGUUGUUCGGAAUUACUGGGCGUAAAGCGCGCGUAGGCGGCUUUGCAAGUCGGGUGUGAAAUCCCCAGGCUUAACCUGGGAACUGCAUUCGAGACUGCAUUGCUAGAGUAUGGGAGAGGGAAGUGGAAUUUCCGGUGUAGCGGUGAAAUGCGUAGAUAUCGGAAGGAACAUCAGUGGCGAAAGCGGCUACCUGGCCUGAUACUGACACUGAGGCACGAAAGCGUGGGGAGCAAACAGG